UAUACCUAGGGAACCCCCCAGAGAGAAUGCUCUCCUACCGCUUUCAAAAAGCAGAAAAAGCUUUCGAAGUCUUUGUUGUCGUCCCGCAGUGUCCUCCUUUCGGUUUUAGCGGGGGUUCCAUCUGUCGGCUAAAGGUCCAUUGCUUUCCUAAAUAGUGUCAGUCAAAAGUAAGUGCUUUGAAUCGAACUCAAGGCUCAAACUCAACCGCGUAAGGGCAUUCAAACUCUUCUUAAGACUGUAAGAGGUAUUGAAGGUUGUCGUUCGAACCGGUUCCCAACCGGUCCUUCACUCUUUCAUGCUCCAGCUGUUAAGUUGAGAGCAAGUACCUAGUCGAACCCAAGCCCGGAUCGAACCUCC
rnacentral:lncRNA from 1 species